rnacentral:rRNA from 1 species
UUGGUGAGGUAAAGGCUUACCAAGGCUUCGAUCAGUAGCUGGUCUGAGAGGACGACCAGCCACACUGGGACUGAGACACGGCCCAGACUCCUACGGGAGGCAGCAGUGGGGAAUUUUGGACAAUGGGGGAAACCCUGAUCCAGCCAUGCCGCGUGAGUGAAGAAGGCCUUCGGGUUGUAAAGCUCUUUCAGCCGGAACGAAACGGUCACGGCCAAUACCCGUGAUCACUGACGGUACCGGAAGAAGAAGCACCGGCUAACUACGUGCCAGCAGCCGCGGUAAUACGUAGGGUGCGAGCGUUAAUCGGAAUUACUGGGCGUAAAGCGUGCGCAGGCGGUUUUGUAAGUCAGAUGUGAAAUCCCCGGGCUCAACCUGGGAACUGCGUUUGAAACUACCAAGGCUA